rnacentral:lncRNA from 1 species
UCCUAUUUGCAUCACUGACAUACUCAUCCUUCCAUCAAACCAAACUUUUGGGGUUGUCUAAGGACACCUCCAUUAUUAAUGAACUUGUACAGCAAUAUGCUUCUACCUCACUGCAUAAGAAGGGAUCUAAAUCUUCUGAAUGUAUUUACUUGUUCUCCACUGACUUGUACGCUCUCCCUCUUGCCUUGUUCGACCUCCCUGCACAAACCCCACAAAGGCAUCACAGAACCCAUGAAUUUAACACAUUACAGAAUCAAUUAAAAGUCAUCACCCGGAUCUUGGACAAAAGAAAAGCAUGUACCUGGCACUCUUCUGGAUUUGGCAACGUGAGGGAUGAACACCCCAGUCCCACUGCCAUUGCUCCACAGCUUCAUAAGCCAGGCUGGUGCUGGACUAGUGCUAAUCUCACUCUCCCCCCACCGGAAAUAGCUUCUGGUUUCUACCGCAGCAGUUAGCACCUUGGCGCUUUGUCUGCUCACUCUAACGGAACUGGGAUGUUGAGUUUCCGGAAAUUCUUCAUCAUCUGUCAAAAGCAAAAUCUGCUUCCUGAGUUCGGUGUAGAAAACAUCGUCAUC